rnacentral:rRNA from 1 species
AUUGAACGCUGGCGGCAGGCUUAACACAUGCAAGUCGAGCGAGCGGCGGACGGGUGAGUAAUGUCUGGGAAACUGCCUGAUGGAGGGGGAUAACUACUGGAAACGGUAGCUAAUACCGCAUACCAUCAGAUGUGCCCAGAUGGGAUUAGCUAGUGGGUGGGGUAUUGGCUCACCUAGGCGACGAUCCCUAGCUGGUCUGAGAGGAUGACCAGCAAAACGGGAACUGGGACCCGGGCCGGACUCAUAGGGGAGGAAGAAGUGGGGAAUAUUGCACAAGGGGCGCAAGCCUGAUGCAGCCAGGCCGCGUGGGUGAAGAAGGCCUUCGGGUUGUAAAGCACUUUCAGCGAGGAGGCGUUACUCGCAGAAGAAGCACCGGCUAACUCCGUGCCAGCAGCCGCGGUAAUAC